rnacentral:rRNA from 1 species
CGCGUAGGCGGCCGAGCAAGGUCGCGGUGAAAGCCCGGGGCUCAACCCCGGGUCGGCCGUGGCAACUACUCGGCUCGAGCACUGUAGGGGCGGGUGGAAUUCCGGGUGUAGCGGUGGAAUGCGUAGAGAUCCGGAAGAACACCGGUGGCGAAGGCGGCCCGCUGGGCAGGAAGAGGGAGCGAUCCCUCGGCUGACGCUGAGGCGCGACAGCGUGGGGAGCAAACA